GCGUUUGCUUCGGCAGCUCGUAUACCAAAAUUAGAGCAAUACAGAGAAGAUUAGCAUGGCCCCUGCACAAGGACGACAUGCAAAUUCAUGAAGCGUUCCAUAUUUUU
rnacentral:snRNA from 1 species